AGUCCAAGCCUCCCAGAUCCCAUGCGCCCGAGCACCUCCAUGGCCGAACUCCUCCUCGCGCGCCCUCGUCCACGAAGCAGUCAGCCUCCCAGGCGCGCCUCACCAACAGCCUUCACGCGAGCGCUCUCGCAGGAGCUCAAACCCGAGUCGAGCCAGUCACCCCUGCCGCCCGCCGGCGAUCUGCAACAACAAGACCCCUGCCGGAAGCAGCAGUUCCCUCGCAGCGGCGCGGUUUGUCCUUCAGUGCUCCCCUUGCAGCCUCCCCAGACUUGGUCUUCGCUUGGUGUUGGCGGACAGUCGAGCAGGAGCAUCUCCCGCACUGGCCUCGACCGCCUCUUGUAAUCUCCCUCGCAUCUCCCGCACUGUCCUCGACCGCCUCUUCGAGCCUCAUGGCGUCGACCAGAUUGGCAGGUCUCCUCUCCCAUUAAUUGUGGACGCUCUCCCUUGCAGGCCACACCAUAUGCAUCAGAAAACGAUGCGGGACUAUUAAUUUUACCGGAUUAUUAGGCCACGACGCGGAGGAUCGAGGUUGGUCUGAGGCCCAAGCGGCAAUGCGCAUGGUGCUCAUGUGCUUUCUGUAUCCUAUUGGAGGCUGUUGUGGUGCUGUGUGCUUGCUCUGUAUCUCCAUUGUUGUUCUAUUAUUCUAUAUCGGCAACAGUUCCAAGCCAAA